rnacentral:rRNA from 1 species
UACGUAGGGUGCGAGCGUUGUCCGGAUUUAUUGGGCGUAAAGGGCUCGUAGGCGGCGUGUCGCGUCGGGGAGUGAAAGACCGGGGCUUAACCCCGGUUCUGCUUCCGGUACGGGCAUGCUGGAGUGUGGCAGGGGAGACUGGAAUUCCUGGUGUAGCGGUGGAAUGCGCAGAUAUCAGGAGGAACACCGGUGGCGAAGGCGGGUCUCUGGGCCAUUACUGACGCUGGAGGAGCGAAAAGCGUGGGGGAGCGAACAGG